rnacentral:rRNA from 1 species
AAGUACUAUCUGGCAGACACACGGCGGAUGCUAACGUCCGUCGUGGAGAGGGAAACAACCCUAACCUCCAGCUAAGGCCCCUAAUUCAUGGCUAAGUGGGAAAGCAUGUGAGACGACCAAAACAACCAGGAUGUUGGCUUAGAAGCAGCCAUCAUUUAAAGAAAGCGUAACAGCUCACUGGUCUAGAUAAGUUGUCUUGCGGCGAAGAUGUAACGGGGCUCAAGCCAUGAGCCGAAGCUGAGGACAUCGUAAGAUGUGGUAGCGGAGCGUAGUGUGACAUAGAUUCUAUCCUCUUUAGUCGUCUUUGACGGCCUUGGAGGAUCAAGAAUCUUUCUGUGAAGCCGGGCUGUAAGGCAUCCGGUGGAGAGAUCACUAGUGAGAAUGAUGACAUGAGUAGCGACAAAGAGUGUGAGAGACACUCUCGCCGAAAGUCCAAGGGUUCCUGCUUAAAGCUAAUCUGAGCAGGGUAAGCCGACCCCUAAGUCGAGGCCGAAGGGCGUAGACGAUGGGAACCAGGUUAAUAUUCCUGGGCCAGGAGAUGGUGACGGAUUGUGAAGGUUGUUCCUCCUUAUUGGAUUGGAGGGGCCGCUGAUCAGUCCCUGGAAAUAGCCCUCCAUAAGAUCGUACCCUAAACCGACACAGGUGGACUGGUAGAGAAUACCAAGGCGCUUGAGAGAACUACAUUGAAGGAACUCGGCAAAAUACCUCCGUAAGUUCGCGAGAAGGAGGCCCAGUUUCUACGCAAGUAUUGGCUGGGGGCACAAACCAGGGGGUGGCGACUGUUUACUAAAAACACAGGGCUCUGCGAAGUCGCAAGACGACGUAUAGGGUCUGACGCCUGCCCGGUGCCGGAAGGUUAAGAGGAGGUGUGAGAGCUCCGAAUUGAAGCCCCGGUAAACGGCGGCCGUAACUAUAACGGUCCUAAGGUAGCGAAAUUCCUUGUCGGGUAAGUUCCGACCUGCACGAAUGGCGUAACGACUUCCCCGCUGUCUCCAACAUCGACUCAGCGAAAUUGAAUUCCCCGUGAAGAUGCGGGGUACCCGCGGUCAGACGGAAAGACCCCGUGCACCUUUACUA